rnacentral:misc_RNA from 1 species
AAGUGAUCAAGCUUAUCAAAGGAGACCCAUAGCAUCAUCAUCCACCAAAACCCAUCACCAUUAUUAUAAACAUUGAGCAAAUAGUUUUCCACAUCAAUCAUCACCUUCAUGAAAUCCAUAUUAGCUUUCUACUUUAUAUUGGUGGCAUUGAUCUAGACAUAUUUAGUGUGCCUCCUAAUUGACCAAAUGUAGAUGCCGGGUCAGAGUAGGAUGUGAUUGAGGUUAGCCUUCAGGUUUGUGUUGUUAAUUAUUAGUGACAUUAUUUUGGUCUCUGCUAUUGUUGAUUCUAGAGAGAGAA